rfam:Triticum aestivum genome assembly, contig: Triticum_aestivum_CS42_TGACv1_scaffold_158945_2DL
UAAGUACUCCCUCCGUUCCAUAUUAGUUGUCGCUGAAACCGAUGUAUCUAGACGUAUUUUAGUGCUAGAUACAUCCGUUUGAGCGACAACUAAUAUGGAACGGAGGGAGUAAUAA